ACUGGGAUGGCUGAGUGGUUAAGGUGUUGGACUUAAGAUUCAAUGGGCUAAUGCCAUGUGGGUUCAAACCCCAUUCUUGGUA